rnacentral:lncRNA from 10 species
CCUUUGUCAUGUGAGGUGCAGAUCUGCCCAGCAUCUGAGUCUCUAAUUACCUACUUAGAAGAAGUUCCCCCGACUAACCCCACGGCCACGAGAAGGUGGAAUACCAUUCCCUGUGGCUGGAGCACUGGGCAAGGAGCAGAUGGGGCCCUUUGGAGAAAAGUUGGAUUGUUACCAAUGAGACCUGGGAGGAAGCCAGGAGGCAAAGGCCCGGAACUCAGUGCUGAAGUUGCAUGGCUGUCAAUGGCCACUAGAGGAUGCCAGAGCCCGAGAUUGGGGAGCCCAAAAAGGCACCAUCUCCUCCAACCGCCUGGAGAAUUACUGGCAGCUAAGAAGUGAAAGCAAUAGACAGGGUGGCAAUAGACCAUAAGGAAGUACUGUUCUGCCUGACCAUGUGGAGGGGGACAAGCAGGAUCUCAAAGUAUCCAGAGCCUUAAGGCACAAUGGACCAAGUAACUUCUUACUUUAUCUAAGGGCAAUGACUGAGGCAGGUAACUCAUGGAUCCGGGCUAGGAGUGAGAAGUGCUUUAUGACUGCAGUGAAACACACAAAUAAACUCCCUACCUCCAUGAAUUCUACAUUAAAAUCAUUAAAUAAAUAACAGGAAGUGCUGGAGAGUAAAAUAAAGAAUAAGAAGUGGGGUAGGGUGUAGGGGCUUGAACAGUAGCCAAGACCAUGUUCAGAUGACAGCAGGUCAGAAAACAAAGGAAGGUAAAAAAAAUGCUCCUUCUCAGCCCGCAGUGAAGAGCAGUGAGCUUAGCCACAGAGGUCUUGCCCACUGUGCUGUCUGCUUCUCCCAAUGAUAACCACCCCAAUCUGCUUUUAGGAAUUCUUCAAAGUAAAGAAAGUAUGUGGAAUCCAGAGGAAGAUGGUCAUUUGUUUAGGAAAACAAAAUUAUAAAAUUGGUCUUGUUCCGGGUGCGGUGGCUCACGCCUGUAAUCCUAGAACUUUGGGAGGCUGAGGUGGGUGGAUCAUGAGGUCAGAAGAUCGAGAUCAUCCUGGCCAACAUGGCGAAACCCCAGCCCUACUAAAAAUACAAAAAUUGGCUGGGUGUGGUGGUGCGCACCUGCAACCCCAGCUACUCGGGAGGCUGAGGCAGGAGAAUCGCUUGAACCCAGGAGGCAGAGGCUGUAGUGAGUGGAGAUCACACCACUGCACUCCAGCCUGGUGACAGAGAGAGACUCCGCCUCAAAAAAAAAUUGGUCUUGUACCCUGGAAACUAGCAUAAAUUGUAAAAGGUUAAUUACAAUCAGUAAUUAAAAUCCAAGAAAAUUUAAGUCAACAUGGGUGAAUUGGUUGAGUGCAGAGGGCAGUAAAAUGUUGUUAUGAUUCUUAAGAUUGUUUAGUGGAUACAGAUUCUGACUCAUGCUAGACAUUGUUAGAGCUGAUCUUAAAAAUAUGAAUGUUAAAAUAAUAAGGGAAACCACUAACAACAGGAAUACACUGUAUAAUUUUUCAGCUGUUUGAGAAAAACACUAGUCCUAAAGGACUCGUGGGAAGGAUGAUGGCCCCCACCUCAUUGGAGCCCAGGACUGAAGGAAGUGUCGAAAGCAGCCAGCUGAUAUCAAGGGAUCAACAGUGGGACAUUUCCACUGUGGGUAUCUCUGAGAAACCCACAGCAUUGAAGAGUCAGCUUGGAACAUCUAGAUCGCGAUACUACCAGUAGACAAUACCAAGUCCCUUUUCUACAGACCUAGCCCUGAAGCAAGAAAGUGAGCAAAUGAGGGAGAAGUUGACCACGUCUCUAUGACCUAUUGCAGACUUUCAUGACUAGAGCUGACCCAAGCCUGCAGAAGGAAAAAACUAAGUAAGAUGGAGUUUGGAGUUCUCAUUAUCACACUGGAUUGGGUCUCUAAAUGUCAAAAACAAAAAGACAGUUUAUGUGUUACCUACAAGUGAUCUAAAGAACUGUGAGACUUGUCCAAGAUUUCACCCAAGGGCAAGGAAUGGUCUGUUUGAUGGAGCAAGUUCACUGAGGAGUGGUGACAUAGUAUAAAUGUGUUUUAUAAUUGUAUUCUACUAAGCUCAGCCCAUUCAGUAUAAUUGUUGCAUUAAAAUCAGAUGAAUUUUGAAACAAGAUGAAAGUAUUAAAUAACACCAAGAGGGAUUUUUACAUUAAUGAACUAAUGACCUUUAUAACAAUGUUACUCCUUCCUUUGUCCUUCCCUGCUAGCUCUCCUUCAGUCCACUAAGGAGAUUUUCCUUUCUCUCGCCUCCUUGAGCUUCCUAUUUGCCUCAUACUCUACUCAUUCUACCAACAUAAUAUGAACUCCACCUCCCCUUGUCUCUCUUGUGGUCAGAAGCCCU